rnacentral:rRNA from 1 species
GACGAACGCUGGCGGCGCGCCUAACACAUGCAAGUCGAACGAGCGAGAGAGAGCUUGCUUUCUCGAGCGAGUGGCGAACGGGUGAGUAACGCGUGAGGAACCUGCCUCAAAGAGGGGGACAACAGUUGGAAACGACUGCUAAUACCGCAUAAGCCCACGGUGCCGCAUGGCACAGAGGGAAAAGGAGCAAUCCGCUUUGAGAUGGCCUCGCGUCCGAUUAGCUAGUUGGUGAGGUAAUGGCCCACCAAGGCGACGAUCGGUAGCCGGACUGAGAGGUUGAACGGCCACAUUGGGACUGAGACACGGCCCAGACUCCUACGGGAGGCAGCAGUGGGGAAUAUUGCACAAUGGGGGAAACCCUGAUGCAGCGACGCCGCGUGGAGGAAGAAGGUCUUCGGAUUGUAAACUCCUGUUGUUGGGGAGGAUAAUGACGGUACCCAACAAGGAAGUGACGGCUAACUACGUG